GGGGCGUCCCGGGGCCGCCGGCGGAGCGUCGCCGGGAGCCCUGGCCCCCACCCGGGGCCGCGUCGCUGCGGCGGGAGCCUCCUUUUCGGGGCCCCUCGUCAAUAAAGAGGGGUGUUUUUGUACGCCGUGUCCCCUGUGUGGCUGCGCUGGGGACGGAGGGGACGGCGCUGGGAGCUUGGGGACAGCAUGGGGACAACCGCGGGGCGAGGGGCAGCGGAUGGGUUUGAGGGACGGGACAGGGAUGGAGGGGACGGGGUUGGGGGAUGAGGAGGUGAGUGGUGGUGCACGGGAUGCCUGGGGACAGGGCAAGGACAGAGGGGACAGGAUGGGGCUCGGGGACUGGGUGAGGAUGGAGGUGAUGGGAACAGGGAUGGAGCCAGGACAAGGACUGAGGGAACAGGGCUGGGGACAAGAUGAGAAUGGAGGGGACAGGGAUGGGGGACAGGAUGAGGAGGGAGGUGCCAAAGCUGGGGAUGGUGCUGAGGGACAAGGCAGGAUGGGGACAGAGAGGACAGGGCAGCGAUGGAGGGGACAGGGCUGGGGGAGGAGGAUGGCGGUGACGGGGAUGGGGACAGGACAGUGA
rnacentral:lncRNA from 1 species